rnacentral:lncRNA from 1 species
GUGUGAACAAUAGGAAUGUCUUGGUUGUGCUGCUUCAUUCCAUAUAGUCCAUCAUUCAUGCUAGCUACACCAAUUAUCCUCAAGGAAUGGAGUUCCUGAAUUUGGCAGUGAAUAUUUGAGAAAAUCAACUUACAAGAUAAAGAGCUAGUGAGUUUUGAAAUAGAGAUCAGGUUGAAUUUAAAUGCAGGCAAGUAUAACACAUCAUUUAGAUAAAGAUCAGCAGAGAACACUAUUGUACCAGCAUAGUGAGCAAUUAAAUUGUCUCCAUUGGGUAAUCUGAUUGAUAUUGGUCUGAUUUAUUUAAAAGAUUGAAAUCUUGACAAAGAGCAAUACACAUGAUUUGUGGCUCCUGUAUCAAGGAUCCAACAAUCAGAUUUCCCAAAGAUGGGUUGAAUGUUGAUAAUACCUGAGGUGUCCUAAUGCAGUGGUGCAGCCACUAUAUGGUUUGCAUUGUGACGUCGUGUGUUGGUGGAUUGUUCCAGCAGAGAUGCAAGAGCUCUGUGUUGCUCAUGAGUGAGUCCCAAGACUGCUCAAGCUUUUGUAUCCUUGGAUGAUGAAUCAUGAUCUUUGUUGGCUCCUUUAUCAACCUCUGCUGAUUCUUGAGUCAUGUAGAUAUUGAUAUUUCCAGAAUUGGAGAAAUAAUUUGGUGGGAAACCAUGC